rnacentral:rRNA from 1 species
GUACCGUAUUGAAAGUAUAGUACGAAUAAGGAUCGGCUAACUCCGUGCCAGCAGCCGCGGUAAUACGGAGGAUCCAAGCGUUAUCCGGAUUUAUUGGGUUUAAAGGGUGCGUAGGCGGCAGAUUAAGUUAGAGGUGAAAUUCCGAGGCUCAACCUUGGCACUGCCUCUGAUACUGGUUUGCUAGCGAGUAGAUGCUGUAGGCGGAAUGUGUGGUGUAGCGGUGAAAUGCAUAGAGAUCACACAGAACACCGAUUGCGAAGGCAGCUUACAAAUCUAUAUCGGACGCUGAGGCACGAAAGCGUGGGGAGCAAACAGGAUUAGAUACCCUGGUAGUCCACGCAGUAAACGAUGAUAACUCGUUGUCGGCGAUAUACAGUCGGUGACCAAGCGAAAGCGAUAAGUUAUCCACCUGGGGAGUACGUUCGCAAGAAUG